rnacentral:tRNA from 1 species
UGGGGGGUCGUCUAAUGGUAGGACAGCAGACUCUGGAUCUGUGAAUGAGGGUUCGAUUCCUUCCCCCCCAGCCA